AAGCAUUGUUUCUUAAUCUGAGUGUAUCAAUAUUACCUUGUUCAGAACUUAAAGAGAAAUCUUGAGUUUAUGGACUUCAGGGGGAGUCUGGUCACAAGGCUGAAACUUAAAGGAAUUGACGGAAGGGCACACCAGGAGUGGAGCCUGCGGCUUAAUUUGACUCAACACGGGAAAACUUACCAAGACCGAACAGUAGAAGGAAUGACAGAUUAAGAGUUCUUUCAUGAUUUAUUGGGUAGUGGUGCAUGGCCUUCUUAGUUGGUGGAGUGAUUUGUCAGGUUAAUUCCGGUAACGAACGAGACUGAAACCUAUUAAUUAGUUUUCUGCCUAUAAGACAGAAAUGUUCGCAAGAACAGGUGCGUAAGUACCACUUCUUAAAGGGACACAUUUCAAUUGUCCUAUUUUAAUUGUAGUUAU
rnacentral:rRNA from 1 species